GACGGAGGUGGCGAGCGUUGCUCGGAUUCAUUGGGUGUAAAGGGCAUGUAGGCGGCCUGAUAAGCCCUGGCUGAAAUCCUCCAGCUCAACUGGAGAACUGGUCAGGGGACUGCCGGGCUUGAGUGCGGAAGAGGAGAGCGGAAUUCCCGGUGUAAGGGUGAAAUCUGUAGAGAUCGGGAGGAACACCAGUGGCGAAGGCGGCUCUCUGGUCCGCAACUGACGCUGAGAGGCGAAAGCGUGGGGAGCAAACAGGAUUAGAAACCCCGGUAGU
rnacentral:rRNA from 1 species